rnacentral:tRNA from 1 species
AUCUAAUGUGACAGAUUAAUGUAUUAAAUUUAAAAUUUAAGUAUGAAUAGAAUUUCCUUUAGA